UAAGCCAGGCUGCUGCCUAGGAUGUUUGGGGUUGAGAGCAGAGCCCCAGGCUGUGGACGUGUCCCUGCCCCGUCCGGAUGCAGCUCAGGGUCCACCGUGUGUGCCUAGAGUCUGAGGAGACCAGAAGAAACUGGGUCCCCUGGAACUGGAGUUGCAGAUGGAUGUCCCGGGGACCUCAUGAAUGGUGGCAAGUACCCUGUCACUGAACUAUAUCACCUCGGCACCUAUGAGAUUGUGGUCGAGCUCAGUGUCAAGCCUCCUCUUCACUUCCAAGAGGCGAGAUCACACCCCAGAUGAGAUGAGCCGGUGGGUGACUCUGACCUACUCGGAGGACCUGGGUUCAGCUACCAACACUGGAAUAGUAGCUCACAACCAUCCCCAACCCCAGUUCCAGGGGAUCUGAUACUGUCUUCUGCCUUCUGGGAACAUUAGACACACAUGUAGUCUACAGAUGUAUGUGCAGGUAAAAUACUC